rnacentral:rRNA from 1 species
GACGAACGCUGGCGGCGCGCCUAACACAUGCAAGUCGAGCGAUGAAAUUUUAACCGAUCUCUUCGGAGAGAAGAUAAAAUGGAUUAGCGGCGGACGGGUGAGUAACACGUGAGAAACCUGCCUUUCACAAGGGGAUAGCCUCGGGAAACCGGGAUUAAUACCCUAUGACACAUUUCCUUCGCAUGGAAGAAAUGUUAAAACUCCGGUGGUGAAAGCUGGUCUCGCGCCUGAUUAGCUAGUUGGUGGGGUAACGGCCCACCAAGGCCAUGAUCAGUAACCGGCCUGAGAGGGUGAACGGUCACAUUGGAACUGAGACACGGUCCAAACUCCUACGGGAGGCAGCAGUGGGGAAUAUUGCACAAUGGAGGAAACUCUGAUGCAGCGACGCCGCGUGAGCGAUGAAGGCUUUCGAGUCGUAAAGCUCUGUCCUAUGGGAAGAUAAUGACGGUACCAUAGGAGGAAGCCCCGGCUAACUACGU